GAGAAGAUGGCUGAGCGGUCAAAAGCGGCAGACUGUAAAUCUGUUGUCGUAAGACUACGUAGGUUCAAAUCCUACUCUUCUCA
rnacentral:tRNA from 1 species